AUGACUGGGGAAAUGAUUUAGUCAAGACUCAGUGGUAGAGUGGUGAACUGAUUUUGACUUUGAGCACUUUCCUUAAAAAAUUAAUAAUAAUAAUAUAAUAAUAAUCAGGAAUGUAUUUCUGAUAGAUGGGGCAAGUUGAGUUUCCUGGCUCAAUAUGAGAGUUGAAGUGUCCCAACAAAAUUUAGUGGAGGAGACAUGUAGAAGUGUCUUUUUUCUGAUGUGUACUCUGAGGGAGACUGUGUAUUAAACUUUGGGCAACACACUGAGCAUUCACCAAGUCUGGGGGUCGUUAAAGCUCAUCACAGGAGAUCAAACACGCAACUUGUUCUUAAUUCCCUUUUUCCACCUUAAGUGCUUGCUCUUAAGUUCCUUAAGCCCCUCAGGAACCCCCAACAGGCAGAAGGAGGACAGGAGAUGAAGUGAUUACUCUGAAAGGCUGAUGUGGGAUAGAAAGGGUUUGGCAGAUAUUUACAGAGGGAUGAAGGAGGCAGGAGUGUUGAAGUGGCACAUAUAAGUCAAAGGAUAAAGGGAACUGAAAGGAAGUUUGAAGGUCAUGAGGAGAAACACCAUGGCCCUGAAUCACCACUCCCCAGAAUCAGACACAAGGAGGUGUCAGCAGUGGAGGAGUUAUAAAAUGGCCUCCCUCAGCAUCCACUAGCCCAUGUUGAUGGGCACAGGGGUACAUUGUGAUGUCUAAGCCCCCCAAGAUGCUCUUGGCUGGGGUGGUGCCUAACUGACCAAUCAGAUUGAAGGGUGUGGCUCCUCAUUGUCCUGAAAGGGUAUAAAUAGGGAGACCAGAGGCAGAGAUUCUAGGUUAGGCCACUUCUUGGCAUCAUCCUGACUAAGGGAAUCAGGAACCCACGGCAGUCAAGAAGAGUUACAAGGCGGUUUGCCUCAAGGAUGAAUGGACAAAAGAAGACCCUUUGUCAACGGAGGUACCGAGGCAGUGUGAAAGCACGAAAUAUGACCAUGAGGGUCAGAAGACCUCUUCAAGGAACCUUGAGAAAGAAAAUCCGACCAUAUGCCACUCAGUCGAAGAAGGUGAAGACAACCAGAAAACCCAACUGUUUUCUCCUGUUCCUGUGCACGUAAGAAACUGAAUCAAAGCCGUAAAAGGUACCAAAAUAUGAGGCGGGAUCAAAGAAGGAGGCAGAAUCCAAAGAGAAGAUAAGCUCAGCCGCCCCAGAAUAAGAGACCCUGGAGAAGUACAAGCUGGGCAGCCAGUAACUGACUCGAAAAGGUCAGACAGUGUAGAACUGUGCCUCCAGAGGUCUGCUUUCGUAGAAAUGGCCAACCAAGGAAAGACUCUCACACUAACAUAGUAAACUGAUGGCUGCAAUUACAAUAAACAUCAAAUGGUGAAAAGA